CACACUUGGCGUGGAUGGUCCAGUUCAUCGUUCUUGCCAUCAUGUGCCCUUUUAGUUGCAUCAAUUUGAGAUGUUUUUUCUGCCCUGUUAGGCUUUACCUUUUGCUCCGUGGCUGCAACCUCCGCCCUUCGAACUGGUCUGCAGGUCAACGAUGCUGUUCUUUCUUCGCGUGGCCGGCCUGAUAGUCCUUCGGGUCAUGUCUCUAGAGGACAUGCUUCUGCCUCGGCCUCUCCUUCUGACUUGCGGAUGGACGAUGCCGAUAUUGCAGCAGAGAAGAGUAAGACAACAGCUGUAGCCGCUAAGGGGGAGAAGAGAAGGCAACUAACAAGCGUCCGUGGUAGCCUGAAGAACAAGAUCCUGCUCCGGCUGACAUCCAAAGGUGGUUCCUUACCAUUUAUAUGCUCCCAAUAUGACAGCAUGAUGACUUCUUCAUGGAUGCAGUACCUCUGAGUGCAUGGUCGGUGUGAGUGGACAGGUGAACAUGGGCUGGUCGCCACCAUGACAUUGAAAGGAGAUCUGUGUCGUGGCGACAUCAGCUGGCUGACCUGUGCUUAGCUGGUGGAAUGAUCAGCCCCGUAGCUGUUCUAUUGGCUCACAAGAAUGAAUGGCCAUUGUCAGAAACUUGAAAUCAAGUAGUAUCACGGUCAAAAGAAAAUUACAAGAACCUGUGAAAAGAAGUUUACAAAGGAAUCUUCAGGAGGCUCACCUGUUGGAACAAUGGGCUUACAAGAUCAAGAACGUACGUAAAUGAACCAAAAUAAGUGGGAAUUCUUGUAUGCUUGAACUUGGUGGUAAGCUGAUUUACAUGUGCCAGUUGCUAGCAUUUAAGCAUAUUAAGAUGGUCAUCAGUUUGUUCUGUUUCAUUCAGUUUGUACAGGCAGUUUCCUUGCUGCGGGCUAUUGAAGUGUAGAAAAGAACUUUUUGCGAAUUACUCCCUCCGUCCCAAAAUAUAAGGCGUCUAAGGAUUAGUUAAGUUUGACCAAGUUUAUACACAAAAAUAUAAACAUUUACAGUACCAAAUCAACAUGAAUAGAUUCACCAUAAAAUAUAUUUCUUAAUAUGUCCAUUCGAUAUUGUAGAUGUAAAUAUAUUUUUCUAAAUAUUUGGUCAAAGUUAGUAAAGUUUGACUGUUGACCAGUCCUUAGACGCCUUAUAUUUUGGGACGGAGGGAGUAGAAAAGAACAUCUUGACGCCAAGAAAUAAAGACCUGAUACUUGAGUGGUGAAAAAAGACAUAUAAAUUUGGAGGAGACCUAAGCAGGAAAGAAAUGACGAGUAAACUUUGGCUUUGUAAUCCCUAUCCCAGGAUUUUCGAGAUAGUUAUACUGUAAGGUCCAUUAGGUACCUCCUACAACUGUUGGCAGUUGGCACAUGAUUUCCGCAUAGAUACUAGGCGUUCCAUGAAUCUGUAUUCAUUUUUCGAUCAACGUUUAAGAUACUGGCUAUGAUUGCUCGAUCAAUGUUAAAGAUACUUGCUAUGAUUGCUCCCUGCAAAUGACAUACUAAAGAUUUCAGGUGCAUGAUGGUCUCAUCAUACCCACUUACUACAAAAAAUCGGUGGCACAUUUUUUAGCACUUCGUUGAUUUACCACUGCAGAAUGGAAUUGCUAUUGCUCUAUGUGUUUUUAUGUCAGCAUAUUCUAGCACUUAAUGCACAAGAUUAUUUGUUGUUCCUUACAGGUUUCUCUAAGGUCUUAAGCUAGCAAUACAACUUUUAAGGAAAAUAAGGGAUGCCCUACAUGCCCAUGUAGAUGCCAAUGUUCAGCUGAUUACCUGUGCAUACAAUGAUAUGUUAGCCUUCACAUGCUUUACAUGUUCAUAUUCAAGGAGGCGAGCACAAUCUUCCUUUUGUCAUCUCAAUGGUGGCGGAUGCAGUAUCCUUUUUGUUCUUUUUAGGGAAUUAGUCUCGAUCUGAAGUGAAAAAAUAUAUACACAACUAUUCAGAAAGAUGAAACCUGCAGCUGAAUGUCUGAGCUUUGGUUGGCUCCCAAAAUAUCUGUUGUCAUUGUUAGGAUCAAGUAUUAACUGUGGCUUCAAAAUGAUGUACUGAAGGCAGUUUAGAUCGCUCCAUUAUAAGAGCUUUUGUGUUA